rnacentral:ncRNA from 2 species
ACAUUCCUUCGGGGAAUUUGUGUAAGUCAUAAUCGGUAGUUAAACUCUACGACCCCCGAUUAGAUCGGGGGAUGAGCCGUUGAAACUACGACAGCGACCGUAAAGUCGGGAUGAAAGAAGGAAAAG